UACGGGGGGGGCAAGCGUUGUUCGGAAUUACUGGGCGUAAAGGGCCAGUAGGCGGCCAACUAAGUCGGAUGUGAAAUCCCCAGGCUUAACCUGGGAACUGCAUCCGAUACUGGAUGGCUUGAAUUCGGGAGAGGGAUGCAGAAUUCCAGGUGUAGCGGUGAAAUGCGUAGAUAUCUGGAGGAAUACCGGUGGCGAAGGCGGCAUCCUGGACCGACAUUGACGCUGAACGGCGAAAGCUAGGGGAGCGAAACGGG
rnacentral:rRNA from 1 species